UACGGAGGAUGCAAGCGUUAUCCGGAAUGAUUGGGCGUAAAGCGUCCGCAGGUGGCUGUGUAAGUCUGCUGUCAAAGAGCAAAGCUCAACCUUGUAAAGGCAGUGGAAACUACACGGCUAGAGUGCGUUCGGGGCAGAGGGAAUUCCUGGUGUAGCGGUGAAAUGCGUAGAGAUCAGGAAGAACACCGGUGGCGAAGGCGCUCCGCUAGGCCGCAACUGACACUGAGGGGCGAAAGCGUGGGGAGCAAACAGG
rnacentral:rRNA from 1 species